AAAAGACAACUGUUGAUUAUUGGGCCAGUGUGUAAAGUCUUUUCCUAUUCUGUUGAAUCCCUGGAGGAGGCUUAAAAAUUCUUAAUUAUUUGUUACAACCCUGGUCCUGAAUAUUGUGUCAGAGUGGUGUGCAGAACCUUCACAGAUCAGAAAUUUUAGAAAGCCAUCAAUGUAGUUAGAAAUCAGGUGCCUUAGCUUGAGUGGGGAAGUUGAAUAAGCUCACAGCAAUAAAAAUCUUGUCAUUCCUGUUCUACCUGUUUUCUGUAUUCUCUUUGAUAUCAGACCUAGUGGGUUUGGUCUUUAUGACAGAUACUAAAACUCAAAGAAUUCUAGGUUUUUAAAAGUAAGUUGCUAAUCUAGUUUUCCAAAUGUCUUGCCAUAAAUUUUUGUUCAAAUUUUGCAUACACAUACUUUUGAGAUCAGAGAAAAGGUAGAAUUUUAAAUAGCAUGACUUAGACUAAUAAUUCUACUAUAUUGUUUGCUGUGUCUGACUUGCUUGGGAGUAGGAGAGUUCCAUAUCAGUAUUGUGUAUGUGUUUGUUAAACUAGUCAGAUUGACAAGUUUAUCAUGUGUUCCGGAAAGUUCUGUUCUCCUGAAAAGUUGCUUUGGUCUCCUGUUGCAGUCAGUAUUUGUUGCCCUAGUAUUUCAGUAUUAGCAGAAGUCAGAUCAAAACAUUCUUAUAGGGUAUCUACACUUACCAGGUAGUUGUGUUGUAAAUACAGUGGCAUACAAAGUACCUGUUCCUUACUUUUGCAUAGCUGUAUCAGGACGACUUCAGUUUCAUGUUAAUAAAGGUUAUUCUUAGGCAAUUCUAAGAAUAAAAAGUUGAUUGUGGUCAUAAUAUUCUGGGUUAUCUUGAAUGUUUUCUGUAAGUCUUUUUUGCUUUGGAGCAUUGUCUGGAGGAAAAAAAAGUUAGGGUGCAUCCUUGUGAUCCAGGAUAGGAUAAUAACAUCAUGUUGCCAAAAUUGAUUUAUUGGUAGUCGUGUUUGGAAUUUGCUUCUUUGCAUGAAGCUAGGUCUGGCAGGAGUCCUAAGGUGACUGUAGAAUUUGCAAGUGAGUGCAUCUGUUCAGGAGCAAAAGAAAUGUCAACUUAUGGAAGAAGAAUGCAGCCAUCUAUGUGUCUGGACUGUUGGAACAGUGCAGUAAAAAGAAAUUCUCUGCAUGUGAUUUGUGAGAGAGGAGAUGUGUGUACUGCCAGCUAUUAAGUCAUCUUAAAAAAAAAAAAAAAAGGGCAAAACAAAAACACAACCCAAAAAACUGUCAAUGGAAUGAAGGAAUAAGAACAGAACAAGAUCUUCAGCUACUUCGAACAUCAGUGUACUUCUCCAAAGCAUCAGACUUAGUUGAAAGUUCCCAAACAAAAAUUUGGCUUAGCAACUUCAUC